ensembl:lncRNA
AUAAUGAUUAUAACAUGGUUGCUAUGAUGGUUGCUAUGGACGCUGAAACCAGCAGCUCGCAUGCCGUUAAAUCAUGGGUAUAAAACCAUUGUCUUUGCUGGUUAUGUAAGGGAUAAUGUAUAGAACAAUUAUUGCCUUCAGGCGAUAACGGCUUAUUUUAGAUAAUGACCGGCGACGCUCAUUGCACGGAUACUUGCCUAAACGAAAUACUAACUUCACAUGGUUGCUAGGGACGGGCUGAAAGACGCCGUGGGCACCUGUCCCAUUGGAAGUCAGAGGACCUGUCCCGGUAGUAGUGUAAUGUCCGUUUUUAGGUUUUUACCCUAACGAUGAUUUAAAAAAAAUAUCUGUGACGCUUCUUGCCCUUAACACAGCAUUGUAUCCUUGUUAUUUACACAAGCCAAUGUUACGUACAUCUUUUUCCGGAUUUUCCGAGCGUCGUCCUUGGCGGAAGUUGCAGUUUUCGCGCUACCAACCUCAGAAUGACAAAGCCAAAAACGAGGCUGUGCCCUUCCUGCCAGACCCCAAAUUGGCUGAGGAGGAAGACCUGUGCAAAUUGUGUCUGCCCUCUUCAGCAGAGUGGCAAAGAUUUGCAAAGUUGGGCAAAGUCUGUGAAGGCCAACAAAAACGCACACAGGACCUUGGAGUCGGCCCAUGUAUCGGUGAAUAAACUAAAUGCUCUUGGGUACUGCCCUUUGUUAUUUGUGGGACGACAUGGCCGAAAAGGAGAAUUCAACGGGGACAUGAUUCACCAUAUCCCGGUCAAUGAUGAGGUGGUGUGGGAAAUCCUGAAAAAAAUGGGCAAGCUGUUAGGGAAGCUGGAGGUGCAGGCAGGCAGGUAGGACCCAAACGCAGACGGUAUUGAGGGAAACGGCACUUUAUUCAGACCUAAAGGCUAAGGCACAGGUAUCGGGGAACUCGGGAGACAACUCGGAACUCGGGAGACAACAGGGAACUCGAAAGGGAACAAGGAACACGCAGGACUACAACCAACACUAACCACAGCAAACCACACACAAACCACAAGCAAACCACAACGAACAAAGGAAAGACGAGGGCUUAAAUAACAAACACAACGAGGAACAGCUGAGACACAUUAGGGAAGGGAACAGCAAUCAACACAGGAGGGAAACACAGGGAGACACCCACACCCUGACAGUACCCCCCCCUUAAGGGUCGACUCCCAGGCGACCCACGACAAGCAAAAAACAAAGAAAGGAAACACAGGGAGACACCCACACCCUGACACAAGCUUUAUGAGCACCUGCUGAAGAAGCUGCAUCUCCGCCAGGGCGCAUCAACAGCUGUGCCUGGGCCAAUGGCGGACAGUGCUCGGUCUGGAGCAGGGCCAGGACCAGGACCAUCCUUCACCCCCUCUCAGCCUCCUCCCCCUCCACCCUUCACCCCUCUCAGCCUCCUCCCCCUCCAACCUUCACCCC